rnacentral:miRNA from 1 species
CAGGAGGGGCUCAGGGAGAAAAGUGUGCAGCCCCUGGCCCUCUCUGCCCUUCCG